UACGAGGGGGGCGAGCGUUGUUCGGAAUUAUUGGGCGUAAAGGGUGCGUAGGCGGUUCCGCAAGUCCUGUGUGAAAUCUUCGGGCUCAACUCGAAGUCUGCACGGGAAACUGCGGGGCUUGAGUGUGGGAGAGGUGAGUGGAAUUCCCGGUGUAGCGGUGAAAUGCGUAGAGAUCCGGAGGAACACCAAAGGCGAAGGCAGUGUCCUGGGGAGUACCUGACGCUCAGGUGCGAAAGCCAGGGGAGCGAACGGG
rnacentral:rRNA from 1 species